AUUGAACGCUGGCGGCAGGCCUAACACAUGCAAGUCGAGCGGAUGAAGGGAGCUUGCUCCUGGAUUCAGCGGCGGACGGGUGAGUAAUGCCUAGGAAUCUGCCUGGUAGUGGGGGAUAACGUCCGGAAACGGGCGCUAAUACCGCAUACGUCCUGAGGGAGAAAGUGGGGGAUCUUCGGACCUCACGCUAUCAGAUGAGCCUAGGUCGGAUUAGCUAGUUGGUGGGGUAAAGGCCUACCAAGGCGACGAUCCGUAACUGGUCUGAGAGGAUGAUCAGUCACACGGGAACUGAGACACGGUCCAGACUCCUACGGGAGGCAGCAGUGGGGAAUAUUGGGCAAUGGGCGAAAGCCUGAUCCAGCCAUGCCGCGGGUGUGAAGAAGGUCUUCGGACUGUAAAGCACUUUAAGUUGGGAGGAAGGGCAGUAAGUUAAUACCUUGCUGUUUUGACGUUACCAACAGAAUAAGCACCGGCUAACUUCGUG
rnacentral:rRNA from 1 species